AGAUAGAUAGAUAGAUAGAUAGAUAGAUAGAUAGAUAGAUAGAUAGAUCAGUAAAUAGAUAGAUAGAUAGAUAGAUAGAUAGAUAGAUAGAUAGAUAGAUCAAUAGAUAGAUAGAUAGAUAGAUAGAUAGAUAGAUAGAUAGAUAGAUAGAUAGAUAGAUAGAUAGAUAGAUAGAUAGAUUGAUAGAUAGAUAGAUAGAUAAGUAAAUAGAUAGAUAGAUAGAUAGAUAGAUAGAUAGAUAGAUAGAUAGAUAGAUAGAUAGAUAGAUAGAUAGAUAGACAAACGAAUAAAUAAAUAAAUAAAUGCAUUUUAACACGCGUGCAGAAUAAAACUCAACAAUUAAGAUGUGAAUAGUAGAUUUAAAAAUAAUAAUAAAAAAAUUAAUGCCGAACUACAAAACAAGAAGGAAAACACUCGACUACAGCUGUUCGCUUGAUUUCCAGUUAAAAUGUAAAAUUUACU
ensembl:lncRNA